GCGGCAGCGACGCUUAUGCGUUGUUGGGUAGGGGAGCGUUCUGUAAGCCUGUGAAGGUGUGCUGUGAGGCAUGCUGGAGGUAUCAGAAGUGCGAAUGCUGACAUAAGUAACGAUAAAGCGGGUGAAAAGCCCGCUCGCCGGAAGACCAAGGGUUCCUGUCCAACGUUAAUCGGGGCAGGGUGAGUCGACCCCUAAGGCGAGGCCGAAAGGCGUAGUCGAUGGGAAACAGGUUAAUAUUCCUGUACUUGGUGUUACUGCGAAGGGGGGACGGAGAAGGCUAUGUUGACCGGGCGACGGUUGUCCCGGUUUAAGCGUGUAGGCUGGUUUUCCAGGCAAAUCCGGAAAAUCAAGGCUGAGGCGUGAUGACGAGGCACUACGGUGCUGAAGCAACAAAUGCCCUGCUUCCAGGAAAAGCCUCUAAGCAUCAGGUAACAUCAAAUCGUACCCCAAACCGACACAGGUGGUCAGGUAGAGAAUACCAAGGCGCUUGAGAGAACUCGGGUGAAGGAACUAGGCAAAAUGGUGCCGUAACUUCGGGAGAAGGCACGCUGAUAUGUAGGUGAAGCGACUUGCUCGUGGAGCUGAAAUCAGUCGAAGAUACCAGCUGGCUGCAACUGUUUAUUAAAAACACAGCACUGUGCAAACACGAAAGUGGACGUAUACGGUGUGACGCCUGCCCGGUGC
rnacentral:rRNA from 1 species